CCGUUUCUACUGGGCAGGGAGAGGCGGGAGCAUAGUCACUUGGUACUGGAGCGGAAGGUAAUCAGGUCGCAUUGGCCUCAGGUCAGAUGAUCCUCAAGGCAGAUCGGCCUGAGUGUAAAUAAGCCGCAGGACGUUUGGUUCUCGAAACACUUGGUACUCAAACCACUUGGUCUCUAAAAUGUCUCAGAGUGAUUGGUAAUUAGGGAAAAGUGUACCAAGUGGGAGUCAAACGGUUAAACAUCAAUUAUACAGCUUUGUGACUCGUCUCUGAUCGCCGCCACACACACACACACACUCAGGGCGGUGAAGCGGGUGGAAGUGCAUUGUUAUUACCUCCAUACGCCACGGUAUCCUUAGCGCCCCUCCAAGCCUUGCCCCUCCAAGCCUUGGCCCUAGACUCGGGUGUGUAGGAGGAAGAGGAGGAGGCGGGGCAAGGAGGAGUAUUGGUACCAUUCGCCCCAGUACCAAGUGACUGCAAACCAAGAGAGGUGAGCCUGGCAGUAGUGGUUGCCAUAGCUAAACUUCUACUGUUUCUCCUCGCAUUGUAAAUCUAGGGACACGGUGCCACCAAGGAAGCCAAGGGUGCUGCCUGGAUGGGUUCAUCACUUUGGCUGGCAUGCCUGUCACCUCUCCAAGGUUGCCACGAAAAGUAAAACGUGUUUUACGGAUCAUCGUUACAUUCCAGCGCCUCUUAAUUGCCUACGAAAUGUUUACUUAACCUCUACACACCAAGAAAUGAGACUUCAGUUCAUAAUCGUGCAUGAGGAGAAUAAUAUUUUGAAAUCCGCGCCAUGACGUCACAGCAGAGUCAUCCUGCGCGCGCAGGCCAGUGUGUGCGGCGGUAUGUUUGCUUUGUGUGUCGUGUCAAUGGUAUGUGAAUUUCUGACGUUUUAUUAGUUAUUUUCCCAACCAUGGUGCGUGGCAUGGUGGCGGGAGGUGUAAUGGUGCACGGCGCGAUGGUGAGACAUGGUGGUGAUGGUGCAGAGCGAUGAAAUGCUGAAAUUACUGGCGGUGGCAGGGAGGCGUAGGCGUGGCGCUAGGACGGUGUAGUGAUGAUGACUUCCUUGGCAAGUACAGUACGAACCACUCCUGUCCGGUUAUCAGUGACGCCUUCUGAGUGCCGGGGUUGGUGGCGCGGCCCUGUAAUCCGGCGACGCGGAGGCUUGGCCCAGUGGACGGCUUGAGGCGAGGGUGGCUGCUGCGGGACUCGCCAUGUUGAGUGGGCGUCCGCACUAAGCUCGGCAUCAAUAUGGCCGCCCCUGGGGAGCCGGGGGCGUCCAGGUUGCCUAAGGAGGUGUGAACCAGGCCAGGGGGGAAACCCAGCAGCCAAAAGCACCCGUGUGGAGCAGCAGUGGGAUCGCGGCCGUGAGUGGGCGGCGCGCAGUAGCCUUGCCAACACAGGCGAACCUGGUACUUUUAUUUUAUUCUUCUCAU